rnacentral:misc_RNA from 1 species
AAGUCGUAACAAGGUAACCGUAGGUGAACCUGCGGUUGGAUCAUUAUUGAUUUAUGAACUGAUUGAAUGUUGGACUGAUGUUUUGCAUCAGGUUCCGGUUAUUCGUCUGCCGACGGUAACUGCCUCAUUAUUCUAUCAGUUUUAAACCUUUUGUGCACUGUAAUUGUCUCUUCGGAGUUACUUGUCGGUUGAUUAAGAGUUGGUUGGGUUGAGGCUGAUUUGCAAAAUUUCUUUGAAGGUUAGGACCAUAGCUUCAGGCUAAGGGACACUAGUGAUUAAAAUUUUGCUAUAAUUGAUUUCAAAUCCUAUGAUAAUUGAUCAACCAUGCAUCUCCGUGCCAUAACUAACCACCUUUAACCUUUGACUGAUUAUAUUUUUCUUAUGAAAUUUAUUAACAACUUUUGACAACGGAUCUCUUGGCUCUC